rnacentral:rRNA from 1 species
GAUGAACGCUGGCGGCGUGCCUAAUACAUGCAAGUCGAGCGAAUGGAUUAAGAGCUUGCUCUUAUGAAGUUAGCGGCGGACGGGUGAGUAACACGUGGGUAACCUGCCCAUAAGACUGGGAUAACUCCGGGAAACCGGGGCUAAUACCGGAUAACAUUUUGAACCGCAUGGUUCGAAAUUGAAAGGCGGCUUCGGCUGUCACUUAUGGAUGGACCCGCGUCGCAUUAGCUAGUUGGUGAGGUAACGGCUCACCAAGGCAACGAUGCGUAGCCGACCUGAGAGGGUGAUCGGCUACACUGGGACUGAGACACGGCCCAGACUCCUACGGGAGGCAGCAGUAGGGAAUCUUCCGCAAUGGACGAAAGUCUGACGGAGCAACGCCGCGUGAGUGAUGAAGGCUUUCGGGUCGUAAAACUCUGUUGUUAGGGAAGAACAAGUGCUAGUUGAAUAGCUGGCACCUUGACGGUACCUAACCAGAAAGCCACGGCUAACUACGUGCCAGCAGCCGCCGUAA